rnacentral:rRNA from 1 species
UUUUAUUUGAGAGUUUGAUCCUGGCUCAGGAUGAACGCUGGCGACGUGCCUAACACAUGCAAGUUGAGCGAUUUACUUCGGUAAAGAGCGGCGGACGGGUGAGUAACGCGUGGGUAACCUACCCUGUACACACGGAUAACAUACCGAAAGGUAUGCUAAUACGGGA